rnacentral:rRNA from 1 species
GACGGGGGGGGCAAGUGUUCUUCGGAAUGACUGGGCGUAAAGAGCUCGUAGGCGGUUUGUCGCGUCUGCUGUGAAAACUGGAGGCUCAACCUCCAGCCUGCAGUGGGUACGGGCAGACUAGAGUGCGGUAGGGGAGAUUGGAAUUCCUGGUGUAGCGGUGGAAUGCGCAGAUAUCAGGAGGAACACCGAUGGCGAAGGCAGAUCUCUGGGCCGUAACUGACGCUGAGGAGCGAAAGCAUGGGGAGCGAACAGG